UCCGGUGGCAAUAGCAGAGGGGCCACACCCGAUCCCAUCUCGAACUCGGUAGUUAAGCCCUCUUGCGCCAAUGAUACUGCUCGGGUGACUGAGUGGAAAAGUAGGACGCUGCCGGGA
rnacentral:rRNA from 1 species